rnacentral:rRNA from 1 species
AUAAUAAUGAGUAUAAUCUGCUCCAUGUCAACAUAAAUAGCCGCAGAAAUUUUACUGUGCUAAGGUAGCAUAAUCAUUAGCCUUUUAAUUAAAGGCUAGAAUGAAAGAUUUAACAUUUAAAUUUCUUUUUUAUUUUAAUUUAUUUAAUUUAGACUAAAUAUAAAAAUAUAUUUAUAAUUUAAAAAGACGACAAGACCCUAUCGAACUUCACUUUAGUUAAGCUGGGGCAGCUAAUUAAUUAUCAUUUUAAUUAAAAUAUUUAUAAAAAUUGACCCAUUAUUAAUGAUUAUAUGAAUAAGUUACCGUAGGGAUAACAGCGUAAUUUUUUUCAAAAGAUCUUAUUAAAAAAAAAGAUUACGACCUCGAUGUUGAAUUAAUAUAACUAAAAAGCGCAAUAGCUUUAAAGUAGGUCUGU